UGGGGAAUAUUGGACAAUGGGGGCAACCCUGAUCCAGCAAUGCCGCGUGUGUGAAGAAGGUCUUCGGAUUGUAAAGCACUUUCGACGGGGACGAUGAUGACGGUACCCGUAGAAGAAGCCCCGGCUAACUUCGUGCCAGCAGCCGCGGUAAUACGAAGGGGGCUAGCGUUGCUCGGAAUGACUGGGCGUAAAGGGCGUGUAGGCGGUUUACACAGUCAGAUGUGAAAUCCCCGGGCUUAACCUGGGAGCUGCAUUUGAUACGUGUAGACUAGAGUGUGAGAGAGGGUUGUGGAAUUCCCAGUGUAGAGGUGAAAUUCGUAGAUAUUGGGAAGAACACCGGUGGC
rnacentral:rRNA from 1 species